rnacentral:rRNA from 1 species
UUGGGGAAUUUUCCGCAAUGGGYGCAASCCUGACGGAGCAAUACCGCGUGAGGGAGGACAGCUUUUGGGUUGUAAACCUCUUUUAUUAGGGAAGAAUUGAUGACGGUACCURAUGAAUCAGCAUCGGCUAACUCCGUGCCAGCAGCCGCGGUAAUACGGAGGAUGCAAGCGUUAUCCGGAAUUAUUGGGCGUAAAGCGUCCGUAGGUGGCUCUUCAAGUCUUUUGUCAAAGCGUGCAGCUUAACYGCAUACGGGCAGAGGAAACUGAAGCGCUAGAGUGCGAUAGGGGUGACAGGAAUUCCCAGUGUAGCGGUGAAAUGCGUAGAUAUUGGGAAGAACACCAGCGGCGAAAGCGUGUCACUGGGUCUGCACUGACACUGAGGGACGAAAGCUAGGGGAGCGAAAGGGAUUAGAUACCCCUGUAGUCAA